rnacentral:rRNA from 1 species
AGAGUUUGAUCCUGGCUCAGAACGAACGCUGACGGCGUGGCUAAGACAUGCAAGUCGCACGAACUAGUGAACCUUCGGGAUUAAUAGUUAGUGGCGAAAGGGUGAGUAAUGUAUAGGCAACGUACCCCCGGACACUGGGAUAGCUGCGGGCUUCGGCCCUUUAGCGAAAGUGCAGGUAAUACCAGAUGAUGUCUCGAGAACGAAUGUUCAUGAGACCAAAGGUCCGCUGGUCUGGGAGCGGCCUAUAUCGUAUCAGCUUGUUGGUGAGGUAACGGCUUACCAAGGCAACGACGCGUACCGGGACUGAGAGGUUGACCCGGCACAUCGGGACUGAGACACUGCCCGGACCUCCACGGAGGGCUGCAGUAACGAAUAUUGCGCAAUGGACGGAAGUCUGACGCAGCGACGCCGUGUGUAGGAUUGAAGCCCCUCGGGGUGUAAACUACUGUUAGGGUUAAGGAAGAUCUGACCUAGCCCAAAGAAAGCACCGGCUAACUUCGUGCCAGCAGCCGCGGUAAUACGAAGGGUGCAAGCGUUGUUCGGAAUUACUGGGCUUAAAGCGCACGCAGGCGGAAAAGCAAGUGUCUUGUGAAAGCCCCCGGCUCAACCGGGGAAUUGCUCGGCAAACUACUUUUCUUGAGGCAGGCAGGGGUGCAUGGAACUCUAGGUGGAGCGGUGGAAUGCGUAGAUAUCUAGAGGAACGCCCGCGGAGAAAUCGGUGCACUGGGCCUGUUCUGACGCUGAGGUGCGAAAGCAUGGGUAGCGAACGGGAUUAGAUACCCCGGUAGUCCAUGCCGUAAACGAUGUCUACUAGGUCGUGGUGGUUCUAACGCCGGCACGGCCGAAGCAAAAGUGUUAAGUAGACCGCCUGGGGAGUACGGUCGCAAGGCUAAAACUCAAAGGAAUUGACGGGGGCUCACACAAGCGGUGGAGCAUGUGGCUUAAUUCGAAUCAACGCGAAGAACCUUAUCCUGGGUUUGACAUGCUUGGAUGCCCUCUGUGAAAGCAGAGUAAGCUGCCCUUCGGGGUGAAACUUGCACAGGUGCUGCAUGGCUGUCAUCAGCUCGUGUCGUGAGAUGUCGGGUUAAGUCCCUUAACGAGCGAAACCCUUAUCGUUAGUUGCCAGCGCGUUAUGGCGGGAACUCUAGCGAGACUGCCGGUGUUAAACCGGAGGAAGGCGGGGAUGACGUCAAGUCCUCAUGGCCUUUAUGCCCAGGGCUGCACACGUGCUACAAUGGGAUGGACAAUCCGAAGCAAUACCGCGAGGUGGAGCAAAUCGGUAAAACCAUUCCUCAGUUCGGAUUGUAGGCUGCAACUCGCCUACAUGAAGUUGGAAUCGCUAGUAAUCGGAGAUCAGCUAUGCUCCGGUGAAUAUGUUCCUGAGCCUUGUACACACCGCCCGUCAAGUCACGGAAGCCGGGAGCACCUGAAGUCGGGUAGCUAACCUUUUAUUAGGGAGCGCCUGCCUAUGGUGAAUCUGGUGACUGGGGCUAAGUCGUAACAAGGUA